GUCAUCAGCAACCACCGCGCGUAGCAGUUGCUGAAGAAGAAAUAGCAGCACACCACCCUGCACCUUCUCUUCCCCCCCAGUCCGUUUUUUUAUACACUCACCCAACGCGAGGCCAUGGCGACGUGGUUGGUGUUAGCACCAGAGGGGGAGGAAGAAGGAAAGCAAGCAAGUGGUGGGAGGAGUCAUGGACUGCUGCAUCUGCAGCCCCACGGCGUCCGUGUACAGGCUUCCGAGGAACUCCAUCUGUGCUCCAUGCCACGAGGGCGCCAAGGCAGUCAUCGCUUUUCUGAACAAGGAUGGUGAGCGGCAGGAGGAAGACGCCGGUGGCCACCACCACCAUGGCUCUGCCCUCAAGUCCAGAGGGUCCACGACGCAGCCUCAUAGCGCAGCCAAGGGGAUGAGGGACGCGUGGGAGCAGGUGAAGGAGAUGAGAGGCAGGGAGGAGGAGGCCCACCGGAGAGCCGCCUUCCUCGCGAUGGCGCCGUGGAAGGAGCGACUCCACACCGACAUCGUCGUCAAACCGGGCACUGGGUCUCCAAUACUGGCCCACAAAGCCAUCCUGGUAAGCACGUGGGCCUGAUGCACUGAGCCCUGCAUGCAUUUCACGCCGGCCUGACGCACGCACGCACGCCGGCCGCGAGGUCGGAGGUGUUCCGCAACAUGCUGGCCGCCGCCGCUGGCGACGCCAUCUCGCUCCCGGAGCUGGCCCACGACGAGCUAUCCCUCCUGCUCGCCUUCCUCUACACCGGCAACCUCCUGGAGGACGGCCCGGCCGUGCCGCCGGUCCCGGAGGCCGGAGGAGCGGCAGCUGCACGCGCUGCUCGUGGCGGCCGACAAGAAGUACGACGUCCCGUUCCUGCGCCGGGCCUGCGAGGCGCAGCUGGACGCGGCCCUGGACGCCUCCAACGCGCUGCGGACGCUGGAGGUCGCGGACCUGAGCUCCAGCGCGGCGCUCAGGGAGCGCGCCAUGGGCGCGGUGGUGGAGCACGCCCAGCAGGCGGUGUUCUCGCCCGAGUACUACGACCUGGCCACCAGGAACGCGGGCCUGUGCGUCGAGAUCACCCGGGCGCUGCUGGCCAAGAUGUCCAUGACGACAAAUAAAGCCUCAUGCAUAGAUGUAGCUAGAGCUUCAAUGCAAAGCUGCAUGCUGCGACGAUAGUGUUUGAUUUCAUCAACGAUCCUAUAGAUUUAUUCUAUAUGUUAAACGCAAUUCUCGGCAGCUGUCAUUAAUUAACACCAUUAAUUAAUGACACCUCGUGAUUAAUUCACGGCGGGCCGGGCCGUCAACGAUUCCUGCGCUUCUUUAAUUUCGAUUCAGAGCUUCAAUUUCCACACAAUU